rnacentral:rRNA from 1 species
GUUCUUCGGAACGAGUAGAGCGGCGGACGGGUGAGUAACGCGUGGGAAAUUGCCCAGUAGUGGGGGACAACAUUCGGAAACGGAUGCUAAUACCGCAUACGCCCUACGGGGGAAAGCAGGGGAUCUUCGGACCUUGUGCUAUUGGAUAUGCCCGCGUCGGAUUAGCUAGUUGGUGAGGUAAUGGCUCACCAAGGCAACGAUCCGUAGCUGGUCUGAGAGGAUGAUCAGCCACACUGGGACUGAGACACGGCCCAGACUCCUACGGGAGGCAGCAGUGGGGAAUAUUGGACAAUGGGCGCAAGCCUGAUCCAGCCAUGCCGCGUGUGUGAAGAAGGCUCUAGGGUUGUAAAGCACUUUCAGUAGGGAGGAAGGCCUUAAAGUUAAUACCUUUGAGGAUUGACGUUACCUACAGAAGAAGCACCGGCUAACUCCGUGCCAGCAGCCGCGGUAAUACGGAGGGUGCGAGCGUUAAUCGGAAUUACUGGGCGUAAAGCGCGCGUAGGCGGUUAGUUAAGCUGGAUGUGAAAGCCCCGGGCUCAACCUGGGAACUGCAUUCAGAACUGGCUGGCUAGAGUACGAGAGAGGGUAGUGGAAUUUCCUGUGUAGCGGUGAAAUGCGU